rnacentral:rRNA from 1 species
CAGCCGCCACGGUAAUACGAAGGGGGCUAGCGUUGUUCGGAAUCACUGGGCGUAAAGAGCACGUAGGCGGAUCUUUAAGUCAGAGGUGAAAUCCCGAGGCUCAACCUCGGAACUGCCUUUGAUACUGGGGAUCUCGAGUCCGGGAGAGGUGAGUGGAACUGCGAGUGUAGAGGUGAAAUUCGUAGAUAUUCGCAAGAACACCAGUGGCGAAGGCGGCUCACUGGCCCGGAACUGACGCUGAGGUGCGAAAGCGUGGGGAGCAAACAGGAUUAGAUACCCCAGUAGUCCCUGUCUCUUAUAC